AAACUUUCCUACAACUCAACUCCCUUUGUACAUUCUGUUUACUAUUUGAAACACGAUGGAGGUAAUUAAUGAAAGUGCAGCUCUUCUUUGCAAUGCAGAGGUUUUAGCAAUUUUGGAAAAUUCUAAAUCUGAUUUGAAAGGCUCAAAAUAUGGUGUUCAGAGUGCAAAUGAAAAAAACAAGCAAUUAAGUAACAAAGAAAAAGGCUUACAGCGUUUGAAUACAAU